UUGGGGUUCGAUUAAGCCAUGCGAGUCGAGAGGUGCAGGACUUCGGCAUACUGCUCAGUAACAGGUGGACAAUCUAACCUAUGGGGAGGGAUAAUCCCGGGAAACUGGGGCUAAUACCUCAUAGACUAUGAAAGCUGGAAUGCUUCGUAGUUCAAAGGUCCGCCGCCAUAGGAUGGGUCUGCGGCCGAUUAGGUAGUUGUUGGGGUAACGGCCCAACAAGCCUGUAAUCGGUACGGGUUGUGGGAGCAAGAGCCCGGAGAUGGAUUCUGAGACACGAAUCCAGGCCCUACGGGGCGCAGCAGGCGCGAAAACUUUACAAUGCGGGAAACCGUGAUAAGGGAACUCCGAGUGCCCGUUAAAUCGGGCUGUCCUCCAGUUUAAAAAACUGGUGAAGAAAGGGCCGGGCAAGACCGGUGCCAGCCGCCGCGGUAAUACCGGCGGCUCGAGUGGUGGCCACUAUUACUGGGCUUAAAGCGUUCGUAGCUGGUUUGUUAAGUCUCUGGGGAAAUCUUCCGGCUUAACCGGAAGGCGUCUCAGGGAUACUGGCANACUAGGGACCGGAAGAGGUGAGGGGUACUCCAGGGGUAGGAGUGAAAUCCUGUAAUCCUUGGGGGACCACCUGUGGCGAAGGCGCCUCACCAGGACGGCUCCGACAGUGAGGGACGAAAGCUGGGGGAGCAAACCGGAUUAGAUACCCGGGUAGUCCCAGCCGUAAACGAUGUGCGUUAGGUGUAUCGGUGACCACGAGUCACCGAGGUGCCGAAGAGAAAUCGUGAAACGUACCGCCUGGGAAGUACGGUCGCAAGGCU
rnacentral:rRNA from 1 species